rnacentral:lncRNA from 1 species
GAGCACUCUCUGUACCCUGGCAAGAGGUCCCUGAUUUGUGAUACAGAGGACAAAAUUCUGAAGCUGAUGAAAAACAACCAUUGAGUUCCACAGUGUCAAGAUUACAAGGUGGUUAAUUCAAGCAAAGAGUCCUUUGGGCCAUAGAAUUCAUUCCCAGUUUAAAGAGAGUGGGGGUACUACAAAGCAUGGAUUUUACCUAUAACUACUCACAUUUCCCAAUCUGGUUUAUAAAAUGCAGACCUUCCCUAAAUUCUAGGGUCACUCAGCUAUUACAGAAGGAAUUUGUUUGGUUGGCAUUGUUUCAUUAUUAUUUUAUUUGAUUGUUUGUUUUGCUGAUUUUUUGGCUUUUUUUUUUUUUCUUCUUCUUACAUUAUAUAUUUUGUUCCUCUGCCUUCUUUGCGAUGAAGUCCAAGGCUUUUUAGGUCAUAACUCCUGGAAAAAAUAAAUAUUCUGUAAGGGAAGGAGCCCUAUUAAAUUUAUUAAAUUCUUCUGUGUACCACUGUAGUACUGGAACCAACUGAAAGCAGUAGAAUCAUUUCAUUCUACUACAGAGUAGAGGAAUUAGAAUCUACAGUCAGACAGCAUGGGAAUGACAAGCUGAAAGCAGAUCUGCGUGCAAAAGAAUUAAUUUACUGCAGAAACAGAAUUGCAGAGAGUCUGCACAAAAGGAUAGAACAGAAGAUGGAGAUGACAGAUAAUAAAGACAAGAUAUAUAUACAAACACUUCUGGAAGACAGACUACAGAAGACUUGCUUUUCUUAUUCUUGCUUUUCUUAUAAGACUUUUUCAGGGGGGUCAAGUGAUUAUAUUUGCAAUAUUUUCCAUGGUUCUGAAAAACAACUCCAAUUGGACAAUACUAUCCUUGAAUGCCAUUCAUAAUAGUGCAGUGAAACCUGUAGUGCAGUUUUGCUCUUUGUGUGAGUUUUUGAAGACAUACUCUUUACCUGGACAAGCUUGAGAAGUGGGCCCAUGUGACUCUAAUGAAGCUCAACAAGUCCAAGUGCAAGGUGCUGCACCUGGAUAACGGCAAUCCCAGGCAGGAGCACAGAAUAAGCACUGUUUUCCCCUUAUGCCACCUUUGUACAGAGUUUAAACAAAGUCUGCCUGAAGAUACAUUGGCAAUAAUAAGAGAAAAACAAACAAAAAAACAACAGUUUAAAUAAUGUGUUCAAAAUAAUUUCUAAAUGAUUAAAAAGGACCUGAAAAAAUAUUUCUAAAACAUAAUGUAUAAAAUGCAACAUCAACAGGUCUUGAUUUAUCUUUUUUAAGUUUUAUCCAUGGGGACACAUUGAGGAGAAAAUCUCUAUAUAAACAAAUUUGGCAAGGCAAUUUCUUUAUUUUCUUAAACUUUGAAAUAAGUGUAGUAAUGUGCCAACUUUCCUAUUACAUUUUUAUCUACAGAAGCCAAUAAUUCAUGAACCUGUAAAAAUUACCUCCCAGUAUUUUCACUUCUUGUUCAUCUAAGGACUUACUACUAUUUUGCAAGUUUUAAUGACUCUGCUGGCAAUCUGUACCAGAAAUUCACCAGCCAUGCUGCUUCAUUAUGAUCAACAUUUACAUGAUUUACAAACAAAAGGCUGGAAUGUCCCAUCUCAGGGAAAAAUCUCAUGAAUCUCAUGAGAAAAUGGAGAACCAAUGUCAGCAAUCCUACAUUCUGCAGACUUAAAUUCUUAAUAUUGAUAAUACCAUGUGAUGUAUUUAAACAACAAAAUCUAUGUACAUGUAACUUCAGUUUCACCCAUUUUUUCACUGAGUCACUGAAAGAACCAAAAUGAAAGGACAGUUUAUAAUCAGUUUAUAGAUAUGUGCAAGGAAGAUUUUGCAAGAAAUUAUAUAAAAAUAUUCUUCAUAAUUUGUCAGAUUUCUUUGGUGAGAUUAUAGUCUCAAAAAUAGGUACUGAGAUAUGAUUGUAAUGUGAAAAUACAACCUUCAAAUCCAUUUGAUUUAAUGACAUACUCAUUUUAAAAUCUGCAUUGCAGAUAUGUUUUGGAGAUUAAAAUUAUCAGCACACAGAUUUAUAGGUUGUUCUUAAUGAUUAUUGUGGACUGAUAAUAUUAUUGCUGGCCAAUAUUAGUUGAUAUUAUAUCAGUAAUCUAAGUGUGAAUGUAAGGUCUUUUUUAGGGCUUCUAUGAUGGACUGCUCUGAGCCUAGGUAUGUAGAGUGCACAAAGAGUACAGAACUUAAAUGAUGGGGAGAAAAAAGGUCACAGAUGAAUGAACAUCUUAAUUUAGUCAUACUAAAAAUCACUUAGGAAUAAAAAGUUGAUUAAAUGUUCUGUUUGGGAAAUU